CCACACUUGUUGCUGGAAGGUGAUUUCUACUUUAUGAGCCUGGGAGGGUUAAGUAAUUGACUAUUGUAUGGGUUACAAAACAACGUGGAUGACUCACAUAUGGUGUCAUCCAUAUAGAUGAUGUCAUUCAUAUUCCACCGUACGUGGCAGGUCGGACGGCAUCUAAUUUACUCAUCUUGCCUGCAUCGUCCCCUUGUGAAUGUGGUUGUAACUGAGGUAAUUGCCCUGAGAUAAUGACCAGAGUUGUGUUUGUAAGCAUUAAUGUGCUGUAUACGAUACCUGUUUGUCACACCCACAGCUCCCCACUGCCACGCUGGACACAUUAGCAUACAGAGCUAUGAGUGACACACCUGGCUUUGUGUGUGCGUGUGUGUGUGCGCGUCUCCAUCCAUGCGUGAGUUGUGCGUCGGCGGAGCUAUGAAUGGGCAGAGAGGGGUGUUCUCUCACAGACACCAUAGCAGCAGUGAGAUGAGGAGUGCCAUCUACUCCACUGCUCGUCUGCUGCACUGAGAGAAGAAGAAAAAGAAGCAAGAAGGGGGGGAAAAGGAGUUGCACAGCCAGAGGACAAGGUGAUCCCUCCUAAACCUGCAUCAGCACUGAGGAGAAAACCUUCAAGUGAGCCAUGGAGCAGAAAGCUAAUGAGUGUCCCACCACCACCUCUCCUCAGAAGCACAUGAAGAACAGGUCUAAAUCCACGGAGGAGAUGCAGCAGUCGAAGAAGGCCUUUGCUUCACAAAAAUCCCUGCCAGGCCGACCAGAGCUGGACAGAGUGAAGGAGUGUCCUGACGGCUCUGACACGCCCUCAUCCUCCAGCGAAGAACUAAAGUGACAAAAAAAAACAAAAAACAAACAAGACAAUGAAGUUGCAUUCAAGCUAUACUAUCAUCAUAAACAUAAAUGUACAUAUGUACACAGGGAAACAUGCAGGAAUAGCAAGCUGGAAUACAAAACAAGCAAGCAUGAAUUAAAGACGAGCUUAAGGAAAGUGUAUAUAAAGAGAACAUGAUUCACACACAGACCCACAAACACACUGAGACAAUCGCAUGUAUACAAAAGGACACCUGUGAUGAUGCCGUUUCAUUGUGCUAUGAGUGGUGUCGACAUACCAACUGAAUGUGUAGUGACAAUAAAGUGAUGUUGUGUGUGCUGAAA